rnacentral:rRNA from 1 species
UACAUGGGGGUGCAAACGUUGCUCGGAAUUACUGGGGCGUAAAGAGCUCGUAGGUGGUUUUGUCGCGUUGUCCGUGAAAACUCACAGCUUAACUGUGGGCGUGCGGGGCGAUACGGGGCAGACUGGAGUACUGCAGGGGGAGACUGGAAUUCCUGGUGUAGCGGUGGAAUGCGCAGAUAUCAGGAGGAACACCGGUGGCGAAGGCGGGGUCUCUGGACA